rnacentral:lncRNA from 1 species
CGGAGUAGCAAGAGAGUAAUCACAUUAAUCAAAUUCAAGAACAACAAUCUCAAAUCCAAACACAAGAUUCAUGAAAUAUAAUGAAGCCUCGCCAGUCCCUAAAACUGUUCUUAACUACAACAAUAUUAUCUACAGAUUUCAAUCUAUCCCUAAAUUGUCUUACUUUUAGUACUUCUCCACACAUUUUGUCAGUCACUAUAAUCCAUUUUUUCACCUUCUAGAGUACUCCAUCGAUCCCAGUUUACCUGACAUAGUUUGAAAUGUUCGUUCAUUCAAAUUUUAUACCAAUCAAAAGAUUAAAAUAAAUCAAAUUCGCUAAAACUAUUUUGAUUUUAAACUCUGAUCAGAAAUUUUCUUAAUCAAACAAGUAUCACUUUUAUCAUUAUUUAAAUUUCCUUCUACUAUCACUAAUAUCAUACACAUAAAUCAAAAUUGGAAGGAAGGAGAAACAAAUCACAGUUAACACCUGUAUUAACGUUAAUUUAAGAAAUUAUGGACCAAUAGCAAUAGCAUUUCGCCAUUGAUGGAAGAAAAAUAAUCGUACCUCGAAGUUCCCGCCGUCGACGACGC